UCUCACCACUAGUUACUAGUUAGUUAAUGUAUAUUAGAAACUAGAUAAUGCCCGCCUAAAUAGGCGAGUGUAAGAUACAAAAAUAAAUUAUUUAGGCGGGUGUAAUCAUAAGUUAAAUUUUUAAUGACACAUGUAAAAAUCCGAUCGUUUGACUUGACACGUGGCACGAUCCUAUAAAUUAGUAACUUUGAAAACCAUACUUUAUAUAAUAAGAUAUAAGACCAUCUUAAUAUUAUAC
rnacentral:sRNA from 1 species